UACGAAGGGUGCAAGCGUUAAUCGGAAUUACUGGGCGUAAAGCGUGCGUAGGCGGUUGUUUAAGUCUGUCGUGAAAUCCCCGGGCUCAACCUGGGAAUGGCGAUGGAAACUGGGCAGCUAGAGUGUGGCAGAGGAUGGUGGAAUUCCCGGUGUAGCGGUGAAAUGCGUAGAGAUCGGGAGGAACACCAGUGGCGAAGGCGGCCAUCUGGGACAACACUGACGCUGAAGCACGAAAGCGUGGGGAGCAAACAGG
rnacentral:rRNA from 1 species